CAGUCGCCACGGUAAUACGUAGGUGGCAAGCGUUGUCCGGAAUUAUUGGGCGUAAAGCGCGCGCAGGCGGCCUAUCCAGUCUGUCUUAAAAGUUCGGGGCUCAACCCCGUGAUGGGAUGGAAACUAGUAGGCUAGAGUAUCGGAGAGGAAAGCGGAAUUCCUAGUGUAGCGGUGAAAUGCGUAGAUAUUAGGAAGAACACCAGUGGCGAAGGCGGCUUUCUGGACGAAAACUGACGCUGAGGCGCGAAAGCCAGGGGAGCGAACGGGAUUAGAUACCCCAGUAGUCCCUGUCUCUUAUACA
rnacentral:rRNA from 1 species